CUGGGAGCGGGGUCUCUGCGGAUGGGAGAGCCCUGUGCUGGGGGAGGCAGGAGUGCAGGGCAGGAUGCGGGUUGGCAGCAGGGCUGGGGUGGGAGGGGAAGAAGACAAGAGCAGGGAGCAAUGCACUUGGAGGAAGUGCGAGCACCACUGCUCACAGAGGGGCAGAUGUGCCUGGCACUGCCAGCAGCUGGGCAAGGCGUGUCUGUGGUGCUGACAUGGGCACUGUUCUGGGACUGCGGUCUGCUGGAAGGACAUGGGCUCUGAGCUCUCAUGGCAUCUGCUACCUGGGCAUCGCUGCCAUCACAUGGGGCAUGAUAAUACAACUGGAGGUGAGUGCCUGGACAUACCACUACAGUGACCAAGGGGACUACACAUGGGAGCAGGCCAGGAACUACUGCCAGACCUUCUUCACUGACCUGGUGGCGAUCCAGAACAAGCAGGAGAUUGAGCACCUCAACAAGAGCCUGCCCUUCUAUAGGCACUACUAUUGGAUUGGCAUCCGCAAACUGAGCGGCACCUGGACCUGGGUGGGCACUAAGAAGGUGCUGACAAAGGAGGCAGAGAACUGGGCAGCUGGGGAGCCCAACAAUCGCCGCUCCAACCAGGACUGUGUGGAGAUCUACAUCAAGCGGCUCUUUGAGUCGGGCAAGUGGAAUGACGAGCCCUGCAACCGAAGGAAAAAAGCACUGUGCUACCAGGCCUCCUGCCAGCCCUUCCCAUGCAGCCAGCGCGGCGAGUGUGUGGAGACCAUCGGGAGCUACCGCUGCGAGUGCUACUCUGGCUUCCAUGGCCAUGAGUGUGAGGAUGUUGUGCAGUGCACUGAGCUUGAGCCCAAGGGAGUGCAAAUGAACUGCAGCCAUCCCUAUGGACGCUUCAGCUACAACUCCACCUGUAUGUUUGAAUGCCAGGAAGGGUUUGAGCGGCAAGGGGCAAGCACCCUGCGGUGCCUGCCUUCCCAGCAGUGGUCAGCAGACACCCCCAUGUGCACAGCCAUCACCUGCCCAGUGCUCAGUGCUCCAGACUGGGGAGAGCUGAACUGCUCCCACCUCCACGGGAACUUCGCCUUUGGCUCCACGUGUGCCUUCUCCUGCCAGACAGGAUUUUCACUGAUGGGGUCAGAAAGUCUUCAGUGUAUGGCCACAGGAACCUGGACUGGGGAUACCCCACACUGUGAAGCUAUCACCUGCCCAGUGCUCACUGCUCCAGAAUGGGGAGAGCUGAACUGCUCCCACCUCCAUGGGGACUUCACCUUUGGCUCCACAUGUGCCUUCUCCUGCCAGACAGGGUUUACACUGAUAGGGUUGAAGAGUCGUGAGUGCAUGGCCACGGGGACCUGGACUGGGGAUGCCCCACGCUGUGAAGCUAUCACCUGCCCAGAGCUCAGUGCUCCAGACUGGGGAGGGCUGAACUGCUCCCACCUCCAUGGGGAAUUUGCCUUCAGCUCCACGUGUGCCUUCUCCUGCCAGACAGGGUUUGCACUGAUGGGGCCAGAGACCCGUAACUGCACAGCUACAGGGACCUGGACUGGGAAUGCCCCAAGAUGUGCAGCUAUCACCUGUCCAGUACUCAGUGCUUCAGACUGGGGAGAGCUGAACUGCUCCCACAUCCAUGGAGACUUUGCCUUUGGCUCCACGUGUCUCUUCUCCUGCCAAAUGGGGUUUGCACUGAUGGGGUCAGAGAGACGUGAGUGCACAGCCAUGGGGACCUGGACUGGGAACACUCCACAGUGCAAAGCCAUCACCUGCCCAGUGCUCAGUGCUCCAGAUCAGGGAAAACUGAACUGCUCCCACCUCCAUGGGGACUUUGCUUUUGGCUCCACGUGUGUCUUCUCCUGUCAGAUGGGGUUUGCACUGGUGGGGCCAGAGAGCCGUGAGUGCACGGCCACGGGGACAUGGACUGGGGAUGCCCCACACUGUGAAGCUGUUGCCUGCCCACUGCUCAGUGCUCCAGACCAAGGAAAGCUGAACUGCUCCCACCUCCAUGGGAACUUCACCUUCGGCUCCACAUGUGCCUUCUCCUGCCAGACAGGGUUUACACUGAUGGGGCCAGAAAGCCUUGAGUGCACAGCCAUGGGGACCUGGACUGGAGACUCCCCACACUGUGAAGCCAUCACCUGCCCAGAGCUCCGUGCUCCAGACUGGGGAGAGCUGAACUGCUCCCACCUCCACGGGGACUUUGCCUUUGGCUCCACCUGUGCCUUCUCCUGCCAGACAGGGUUUGCACUGAUGGGGCUGGAGAGCCACAAGUGCACAGCCAUGGGGACCUGGACUAGCAAAACUCCACAAUGCAAAGCCAUCAGCUGCCCGGAGCUGGACCCCCCCAGCAGAAGUCACCUGAGCUGCUCUCACAUGUAUGGGAACUUUACAUACAACUCCACGUGCACCUUUUCCUGUGAGGAGGGCUUUGUUCGGAUGGGAGCAGAGGUGCUCUGGUGUGCAGCCACAGGGAACUGGACUAGGCAACCCCCUGUCUGUGCAGGUAUGAACGGUGCCCUCUUAAAGCAAGUCCUUGCCUACAGCAGCGGCACAGCUCUGGCAGUAGCUGGCCUCACGCUCUCUGGGAUGCUCAUUGCGCUCAUUGCCAAGCGGCUCAGUGACAGAGAUUUGGUUAUUUCUUUUCCAUCUGCUCUAUCCCUGUGGACAUUUCAACACCAUUAUCAGAGGAGAAGAAGAAGCUCUUGAACCCUACCAGUGACCUAGGCUCGCCUGGCAUCUUCACCAAUGCAGCCUAUGAUGCCAACCUGUAAGCCUGGCCCGGACCAAACGCCACCGUGUUCCCCAGCGCUGCAGACCCAGCAGGAGCUGCUGCCAGGGCCUAGAGGGGCUUC